rnacentral:rRNA from 1 species
CCCUUAGAUGUUCUGGGCCGCACGCGCGCUACACUGAUGCAUUCAACGAGUCUAAAACCUGCUCUGAUAGGGGUGGGUAAUCUUUUGAAUGUGCAUCGUGAUUGGGAUAGAUGAUUGAAAUUUUUCAUCUUCAACGAGGAAUGCCUAGUAAACGCAAGUCAUCAGCUUGCAUUGAUUACGUCCUUGCCCUUUGUACACACCGCCCGUCGCUCCUACCGAUUGAAUGAUCCGAUGAAUAUCAUGGAUUGAGGAUGCAAGUAGGUUCACCUAUCUUCAUCUUCGAGAAGUGAAGUAAAUCUUAUCAUUUAGAGGAAGGAGAAGUCGUAACA